CUCCUUCGGAAAGCUCUGGGGCCACCAAAGGCCCUGCUUCGGGCUCCUUCCUCCAUCUUCACUGUGCCAGGCCCCCAGCCAGAGAGGGGAUUUAAAGGAGAAUCUGGCUUUGUCCCCGCCUGGAGAAGCUCAUGUGGAUAUAGAACCUGUGACACCUAACACCAUUCGGGGGUGCAAGGAGAGCGGGAGUGGUGGUCACAGAGGUGACCCCAGUACCAGGAGCAGCAUGGGCCAAGGCCCAGGGGCAAGACAGCCCUGUGCUAUUCUCUGAGUCCUUUCCUCCAUCUCUCCACUGUGCAAAGCGUGGGAUUACAAUGCACAUUACAAGGGCUGGGAGACUUAGGGAGGCAGUUUCCUGAGCCCCGUGGAUACUCCCAGAGAUGGGCUCUGAGGCUUUCCUCGCAGGCCAGGGCUGUGGGGGCCUGAACCACCUCCUUCUUUGCAAAGGGACAGCCUGGAGCCACAGCCCAGGGCUGCUGUGAAGUGGUGCAUCUUUUCACCAAGUCACUUCUGGAUGUGACACAGACUGGACCUCAUGAGUGAGGCCCCCAGGGAAACCUCCCAGCCAGGUGGCUGAGCCCCACACCCAGAGGAGGCCAGCCUCAAAGGGAAGACACAGCCAGGAGGGGACAGCGCCUGCCCUUCCUCCGGCCACUGCACCUGCUGUGCACCGGCGCUAUAGCACAGCUGGGCAGAGUGAACCGCUGUCACCUGACUUCACCCACAUAGCAAUUUGUAUCUCUGAGACACUGGGAAAUUGAGGCACAGGUGGAAAUGGCAAUCCGUAGGUUAACACAGCUCAAUCAUUCAGAGCACCUGGACCUGGAGACAUCUCAGCUCUGCCACGUCCUUCUUGCAUGACCUCUAUGCAGUGAAUGCCCUGUGCCUCAGUUUCCCCAUCUGUAAAUUAAGAACCAUCACUGCUUCCUUGUGGGUCGUGAUCAGGAUGGAAGAACACAUUAAGAAGCCUCCUCAGAUGCCUAGCAUGUAAGAAACCUUGAUUAGAAUUACUACUCAGACCACAGAGCCAUUUCAUUAUUCUUAUUUUUGCCAUUAAGCAUGCUGUGAACAUUUGUGAAAUAAAUGAUUUUUCCUGGUGUUUUAUGAAAUGUUUAGACACACAACAAAAUUGAGAAAAAGUGUUUAGUGGGCCGGGCAUGCUGGCUCAUGCCUGUAAUCCCAACACUUUGGGAGGCCAAGGCGGGCGGAUCACAAGGUCAGGAGAUCGAGACC
rnacentral:lncRNA from 1 species